UUUCCCUUUUUUUUCAUUACUUCUUUUCAGAGUGGUCUUAUAUCAGAUUAAUAUCUCCUUGCUCUUGAGUUUAACAAGUGCACAAUAAGAAUAUUAAGCCUCCCCUUGCCAAUUACUCCAAGUUUAUUCAUCUUUACGGGGAAAACUGUACCUGCUGCUUGGCACAACAGCUCUUAGUCUGGUAUGUGGUGUGGCUUUGGGAUCAUAUUGCAACUAAUAUUUGCAUUUCAGUUCUUGGGAAUCGAAGCACAUGAGGAUAUACAUUUUACAUAUAACCUAAACUAAUCCAAUUUAGAGACGAGUCUUUGGAUGACAAAGAAGGCACAGUAGUAUGGCAAGGAUCAUCCAAUCGGUUUUCUACAUUAUCUCUGCCAUGAGCCAAUUGAAUGGCAUGCCAGGAUCACUGAUUUUUCAUAUUGGCUUGAUCUGCUUAAUUGAUUAGGAAAUUACUGCAAAAGGUUCACAAGUUCUUUGUUCUGCACCAUUGGUGGAACCAUCACCUCGGAAGUCUCUUCGAGGGAGACUUAACCUCCUGAAACAGAGAGAAAUGGAGAGAGAGGGGGAGGGAAGGAAGAGUAGGAAGAUWAGAGAAGGUAACAAUCAUUCAUAAUAAUAUGAUACCACUGGAACAGUUGCCAAGCAAUUCUGGAACUAGAGAGGUAGUGGCAGUAACAAAUAACAUCCACUAUGGGAUAGGAAUAUGGUCAUGGGAUCACACAUGCAGAUUUCAAUAAAUUAUAUUUUUGCUAAUGAGGGUUGCUCUGCCAGGUUAGAGUCACUAGACAAUUUGGUGUAGAUUAGGUAUGGUUUGAACGGACUUAGAGUUUGUGUGGGAUAGGAAUAUCCAUGAAGCAAUAUUUGCUUGGACAUGGUUUUUGUCUUUGCAAGAGCAAUUUCUUCCUAUAGUUAGUUUAUUCUGACUUUAAGAGUUUGUGUGGAUCACUUAGACUUCAGUAAUGCAGGUGACUACUCCAUUGCUUUUCAAGUUGAUACCUGCCGUUGUACAUCUUGGAGUGCUAUUGUGGUGGUUCUCCCCCGAUAGUGAUCAAAGUGAGAUUGGGUUUAAAGCAGAUGGACAUCGUUCAGACAGUAGUAAGCGUACUGCUCUGAUGGUCCAAGGCUCUCGAAAUUCAUGAUUUUAGAAAGAAAAGCAGAAAUGGAAUUUCAUGUCUUACCUGGUUGGACUUAUGCUCUGGAGGACAGAGUGCAAAAGGAGGUAGAGUGACUGAGUGAGUCACAAAUUACUGUCUUAUAAAAAGCUCUUCUUGAUGUUCUCUAUCACGUAUCUGACCAAGUGAAUCAAACCGAAUCGGAGAAGUGGGAAUACUAACAGAAAGUCCCAAUGCCAAGUAACUUGGAGAGUGUCCAAGCCUGGAACCUUGGUUCAUUCGAGUCGUCGUCAUACAGCCAUUCCAUGUGACCAAUUUUGUGUAAAAUAUUUUCCACUGGUGUAAUGUAAUUCAAUUGAUUUUGUA